AGAGUUUGAUCCUGGCUCAGGAUGAACGCUAGCUACAGGCUUAACACAUGCAAGUCGAGGGGAAACGAUAUUGGAAGCUUGCUUCCGAUAGGCGUCGACCGGCGUACGGGUGAGUAACGCGUAUCCAACCUGCCCACCACUUGGGGAUAACCUUGCGAAAGUAAGACUAAUACCCAAUGACGUCUCUAGAAGACAUCUGAAAGAGAUUAAAGAUUUAUCGGUGAUGGAUGGGGAUGCGUCUGAUUAGCUUGUUGGCGGGGUAACGGCCACAAGGCGACGAUCAGUAGGGGUUCUGAGAGGAACGGCCCCCCACAUUGGAACUGAGACACGGUCCAAACUCCUACGGGAGCA
rnacentral:rRNA from 1 species